GGGAGGUGGAGUCUGGCUGGAGAAAUUGGGUCACAGAAUACCAAGAGUUGUUUUCUGUCCUAUCUCUGCUUCCUGAUCUUUAGAAAUGAGAGCAAGCAGACUUACCAUUAUUUUUCCUCUGAAAGCUGUGCCAGCUGCCAUGCCUCCUCCUAUAUAAUGAGCUGUAUCCUUCACUCAUGAGCCAGAAGAGACACGUCCUCCCGUAAAUUGCUGCCUAACAGGUGUUUGUCACAACAAAACCAGGAUGCUGUUGCUGCUGCUGCUGCUGCUGCUACUGAUGAUGAUGAUGAUGAUGAUGAUGAUGAUGAUGAUGAUGACGAUGAUGAUCACAAGCUAGAUGUCAGCUUGGUUACUGUCACAUCUCCCCGCAGAGUUCCAAAUGCCUGUUAUUCAAGAUGAUGAAGAGUGUGACGUCACGGAAUUUCAACCUUGGGUUUCCUCAUUUUGCAUUCUGUCAUGAGCAAGCGUAUCGUCCCGGAAAAGUGCAUAAGCGCCCUCAUAAUUGCUUCGUAGUUUCCUAUGAACUGCAAAUGUAUGUGAGUGUUUGACUAGUACUAGACUCUUCAUUCUGUAACUAAUGUUGAUUAUUAAUUUCAAAAAGCAGACAAGAAGUCGGUUGGCCAAAUCAUACUGUACUUCAAGAACAGGACAGUGUCCCAUGGUUGGGUGUCUUUCUCAUGAUGGACUCUCUGUAAAUUAAACAGCAGCCAAUUAGUCACUUUCCUGUUGUUUCAGCUUUCAGUUUGCUCCGAUUAAACAUUCAUAUGGUAAAUCUUAUAUUUCCAGUAAUUUCAGUGCUGAGGUCAGUAGCGUUAAGGCAUCCAGAGGUGUGUGAUUAUAAAACUAGACAACGAAUAGGAACCAGCACACGGGUGAGUGGAAUCCAUGGUUCUGGUUUGCAUCUCCUGACUGUUAUGAUGCUGAACACCUACCUGUGUGCCCAUUGGCUCUGUAUGUCUUAGGAGAAGGGAUGAUUCAAAUCCCUUUUCCAUUUGUAAAUUAAGGUAUUUUUGUUAUUAAAUAGGAUGGGCUUCUAUAUCUAGAUAUCAAAACCCUUCUCAGACAUUUAAUUUCCAAAUAUUUACUCUUAUUAACUCUUAGUCUUUAUUGCUUUGCAAUGCUCUUAGGUAUAGGAACACUUUUAGGUUGAUAAUAUAUUAGUUAUUUUUGUUAUCUCUGUGGCCUGGCAACAAACCUUUUAAGGGAAGCAGGGCUUAUUUUGGCUCGUGGUUUAGGGCCGUGUGGGGAGUGGAGGAAGUCCUGGGUGAGUGCACGGAGAGCAGAUGGUGUGCUGGGUGAAUGUGUGUUAUUGAAUGAGCAGAGUCAUGCCGUGGACCUGACCGCCUCUGACCUGCGAGAAUGGUAGAGCCUUCCCCGGUCUGCCCAUGCUUGUUGAUGGUAUGUGUCAAAUGUCAACUGAGCUUCCUCCUCCUCCCAGUGUGAGCAGCUUGAGACUACUUCCCUUCAGAAACCAUACAGGGGUUAGCUAAACCUGCCUCCUCAAUCAGCUGCAUUCAAUAAAACUGCCUCCUCAAUUCGGAUAUAUAAGAUAAAAACAUUGUGUUUCCAGGCUGCAUCUCCGUCAGAGCACGUGGCCCACUCAAUCACAGCCUUUCCGUACACGUGUCUGUGUGUCCAUCCUUAAUUCCGUCAUUGCCCCAGUCAGGUCAACUUCAAGCCAGGUCAAGUAGUUUCAGUAGUACAUCAUGGGGUUUGGUAUAUGACCUUUGUUCAUGAAGAAGUUUCCUUUUAUUCCUCGUUUGUUGCAGUUUCUGUCAUGAAAAGGUGGUAAAUUUUAUCAAAUAGUUUUUCCUCUAUCAACUGAAAUGAUCACACGGAUACUUCUCCCCUUUUGUUCCUGCAGCACAUCAGUGGAAUAGAUUCUCCACUAGUCCUUGCGUCCCUGGUUUCCUCAGUGAUGCUAUAUAAUCCCUUUAUUAUAAUGUGGAGUUUGCUCUGCUAGUAUAUCUUGAAGCAGUUUUACAUAGAUGCUUAUAUGGGAUAUUUGUAAGUUUCUUUCUUGCACCGUCAUCGUGUGGCUCCAAUUUUGGAGUGAGCUGGGAUGCUCCCUGCUUGGUCUUCCGCAGAAGUCUCAAGAGAAUACAGCAGAUUCUCUUCUAGCGUUGCAUAGAAGUCAGAAGUGGCUCUGUGAUGCACAGCCUGUCCUUGUUGGCCUUGGGUUAUUCAAAUGCUAGCAUACACUUGCUUACACUGCGCUUCCGUGUCCUUUCUACCUUUGGAAUCCCCCAAAUAAUAGUGAGUGAUGUUAAAAGAAUUAAUCUGUUUGGUAGUUUGAUUUUUAAUCUCUUAGCCGCCAAGUACGCUGCCAGUGCUCCUUCUCGGGGUGACUUUGUUUUCAUGCCCUCAGAACCUCUUAUUCACUCAUUACACAGUGCUUGUGGGAUUCUUCCGUGUGGACUCAGGCUCAAGUGGACGGCAAAUAUCAGUGUUUCACGGUCUCAUAGUUAUGAUAUAAUGGCUGGGCUGUGGAGAAGGACUGGGUUUAGAAUGGGGCUACUGCAGAUCGCAGAAGUGCACACAGGUAAAUAAAUGCAUCGCUGUGUCACGGUCUCCCUACAGGUGUUACCGUGGGCUUAGACUGCUGUCUGCAUUAGUUGUCUGCCUUCUGGUCCUCCCAUGGGUGGAACACGCCUUUUGUUUUCCACCCCUGCCACUAGAGGGCACAACCACUGAUUGGUAAAACAAGCUUCAAGGCAACCUUGAGAGCCAGUGACUCAGCCUUUUUAGCUACGUCGUAGGUUUACAUGGUCCCUUUAGAUACUGGCAAUCAAAACAAAUUCUUUUUAACACUCAGUAUGAACUACUCAGGCAAAUCCAUUGCAAUUCGUGGGCUCGGGAGCCCAAAGAAAUUAGACCAUACAUAAAAAUGUAUCCUCUGGGAAAGAAGAUUUUUUAUUAGAAAUUGAAACAAUGUUUCUGAAGCUUGACUGCUUCUGUCUGCCUGGCUCUUUUGGCUGCUGAUGAGUCUCCUCCAGGGAGGGAAGAGAUGAUCUCAGCGCCUGUCCUCACUUCUGUAAGUACUUCUUUUGUCCUUUGCUGGCACAUCACCACUGAAGUUGCAGCAGAGGCACAGGUUGAUAUGACAGGCAGGAAUGAGACCAGAGGGGACCACAGAACGUCCCCUUCACAUGGAGUCUUCUGUGCUGUAGACCCCAUGAUGUUCCUCCACCUCUUACCACACAGCUGGGUAGGGUACAUGGAGCCUGGUGACUGGGCUUAAGUGCUUCCACUCAUGAAAAAAAAAAAAACCCUGUGAUGUCGAUCUACUGAAUGGGCCCAGAUGUACCGGGAGCCCUGCUGCUGCCGCAGCCCAUCCUGCAGCUCUGCAGAUGAGUCUCUGAGCACAGGCCCUAGACUUCUGUUCCUGCUGCCCAGCAGGGAGUGUUAGUUGCUCACCAUGAAUGCUCUUGGCUUAAAACCAGCAGUUCCCUACACUGUUGAAAGAAAGAAAGAAAGAGAGAGAGAGAGAGAGAGAGAGAGAGAGAGAGAGAGAAAGAAAGAAAGAAAGAAAGAAAGAAAGAAAGAAAGAAAGAAAGAAAGAAAGUUGAUAACAGUUCUCUUUGCUGCACUCAGGAAGAAGAGACCUUCUGGAGACACACAGGCACUGAAGGCUCAGAGGCUCACAUGGGGGCUGGGUUGGUGUCCUGCAGCUGGUACCUCAUUCAGGGAUCACUUUUGUUGAGAUUUGUCUGAUUCUAUCUGGCAUCAGACUUGUAACUCUUUAGAAACACAAAAAGGGCUACCUUUUGUUUCCAGAAGCUAUACCCAAUUACUGGACAUUUUCAGAAUGCUGCCCAAGAGUCUCUUAACCUCUUGCCUGAAAAGACUCCAUAUCUGGGUACAUGCUGAGCCACCAAGGCUCAGCUGAUAGGGUGUGGGAUGCAUGUGGAGGCUGGGCACUGUCCCCAGGCCUUCAGUGCUGGUACCACACUGCAAUCAGCAGCUGUAACCCUCCCUGCCUUUCUUUCCUGACUUCUAUCUUACCACUUAAAGGUAAAAUGAUGAGGAGUAAUUAGAAGACAGACUCUGUCCCAGGAUAGUUUCUCCUGGCUUCCAGUGGCAGCAGUCUGUCGCUGAUCACCUCAGGACAGACCUGUCCUAAAGAGCUGUACAACCCAAGCUGCUCUCUUAGGUGAGAUGGUCGAGCAGUUUCCUGAAGGGCUUCCCUGUCUGCUGAUGGGUCGGGUAAGAACCUGACCAAGGAGGUAGAACUCAAUGUCCUUGCCAGAAAUUGAGUGCCACUGAUAGGACUGUCUUUACCUGUGGUACUUGGAGUUGAGUUUCUUUACCUAGUUCCUCGUUGUCUAGUUAGUUACCUGGUUCACACACAGAUUUAGAAUGCUAUGGCAGAGACGCUGCUGAAUGGAUCAAGAAGAGGAAGCACAGGACUCCGUUCCUGAGUCACAGCAGUAAUUCCUGUGCUGCCAAGUUCUGCACUGCUCUGUAUAUACAAAGGGUUGCUGCAGUUUUUCUCUUAGAGCAAGGAGGUUCCUCUCAUACAGUCCGUGCCAGCCAUCCAGCCCACUCCGAGGCACACGACAAAGACUUGCAAAAUAGGAGGUAGAGACGGUGCAAGAAAUUCUAAAACUUUGACCUGUGAAAUCCAUUAUUUGGACUUAUUUUAAGUUUCAUUUAAAUGCAUGCAAUAGCACACACAACCGCUAUGCUGUUUAACAGAAAUAAAGAGAAACCAUGGCUGAAAACUUAGAGACUAUUUAGACAUAUUACCCCGACUUGUUCUAAAUCUGUCAUAAAGCUUUUCCCUGCAGGGAAGACUGCAAGCCAAUAAUGGCCUCGUUCCAAGCAGGCAGGCCCGUGGGAGGCUAAGGCAGGCCCGAGUAACUUCAUAUAGCUGCCUGAUCCUGAGAUCCAGCCUUCCCAUGCAUAGAUACCCACUCAAACAUGCGUACAGACCACAGACACAGUCUCCCCAUAUAUAGAUGCCCACCCAAACAAAUAUACAAACUACCUAUGCACACAGCCUCAGACAACCAAACACACAUACCACAUGUAACAUAAACCAAACAUACAUGUGCACUGUGGAGGUUUCCGUAAAAAUGGUCCCCAUAGGCCCACAUAAUUGAAUAUUUAGUCACCAGAACUUGAGAAGUGGCAGAACUCAGAAAGGAGGUUGACCAUGUUGAAGGAAGUAUGCCAUUGGGGGUGGCUUUGAGGUUUCAAAGACCCACACCAGUCUGAGUGUUGUUCUUUCUGCUUUCGAAUCAGGAUGUAGCUCUCAGUUACUGCUCCAGUGCCAUGAGUGUUGUCAUGCUCACACAUGCUCCCACAUGCUCCCACAUGUUCCCACUAUGCUUCUCCCAUGCUCCCAGCAUACUCCCACAUGAUCCCACUAUGUUCCCACCAUGCCACCACCAUGCUCCUACCAUGCUUUCACCAUGCUCUCACCAUGCUCCCACCAUGCUCCGACCAUGGUAAUAGUGGAAUAACCCUCUGAAACUGUAAGCAAGCCCACAGUUAAAUGCUUUCUUUUAUAUGAGUUGCCUUGGUCAUAGUAUGUCUUCAUAGCAAUAAAACAAUGACUAAGGUAUGUUUAGGCAUGAAUAGUUAAACACACACACACACACACACACACACACACCACAUUAUAUCACAUUACAGACACAAAGACAUACAAAAUAACAUAGGCACAUAUAUGCAUAUACCACGUAUGAUGCAGCACACAAAUGAAAUUAGUUAUAUAUACCAUCACACACACACACACACACACACACACACAAAACAUGUGCUCAUUAUGCUACAUACAUGCUACAUAGAACAUGUGUAUGUACUACAUGGGCACACAAAUACACACAUAAAUAUGCCUGUGUAUGAUAGCCCCCCUCCCACCACCCCACACUAUCUAAAGGUCUCUGAGCGAAUUAAGGAUGAAGUAAUUUAAGGUCAAAUGCAGAACAAUCCCCCUUGGGGCUUGAAAUUGACACCAGGUCAUCAUUUGCUGGAACCUCCAUCAAUCUGACAUUUGAAAAUGGCCCUUUGAACUGGAUAUAUGGGACCUUGAGUGGGGCUGCUCUAAUGUGUGUGCAUGCUCACAAUCACAUGCACGUCACUUGAGGUCAAAGGGUGAAGAAAACCUUAGACAGUGCCCCCCCAAACGCUGACCCCCUGACAUUGCUCCUGCAUUUUCCCCUCUUCUCCUCCAUUCCUUUUUCUGUUCAUUCUUUUGCUUCUCAUGUCUAUGCUAUUCCUACUGCGGAGUACAUCCUGUAUUCAUUAAACCUAGGAGUCUGGGGUUCCUUGGAUAUGGCAACCCUGCCCUGUCAUAGCAGGCCAUCCUCUGGCCACAGGUUGGCCACACCAACAUAUAAAGAGUGUACAUUUCCAGACUGGGUUCACAGGUCUUAGGAUGAGGCCGUCUGAACACAAACAUUGCCAUGGGUAGGGACCAAACUCGGUUCUGUGUAGGAAGAUGGCCUCGAACAUCAAGUUGCCUUAGAGGAUUAGUCCUCUGUGAAGGAGAGUCCCAAUUCAGGGCACAUGAACAGGACAUAUAGGGUGACCAUGAGGCAGAUGGGUGCUGCAGGGACAGCAGAGCAGAGGGCUGCAGACAUGAUGGGUAAGAAGCACUCACUUGAGAAGUACAGCUGCAGAGAGGCAGGCAGGUGCUGUGUGUGUGUGAUUAGUGCUUCUCUUUCACAAGACAAGUGAUCAGCACCCUCUAUACCUGCUCCAGACCUGCCAACAAGCACACUGCUUUAGGAGGCCUAAUAGAGUAUAGCCCAAAACAAGGAAUGGCCAAGAUCACAAGUUGUAGGAACAAGGUCCCACAAGGUGAUCCUUCACCCCAUCCUGAGAGAAUGGAGCACACAUGGACUGCUCUCUGGGGCAGCCACACUCUGCAUCUUCCCAGAGGUUUGCAGGUAGCCCUGCACCUCAUCUAUCCUCACACAGGAUGGUGGAAGCCUGUGGUGUGAAAAGAGAAUAUAUAAGCACACGACACAGGAGGCAGGCGAGGCCUUCAGUGAGAAUUCUGCUGGAAGCAGGAGAGGUUGAAGAGGGACAGAGGGAAUACUUGUGCAGUGAAAGGAGUGACUGACCGGUUUCCCACCGAACUCUGUGUAGAGAUCUUAAAGAUGUUUCCUUUCCCUUGUGGCAGUAUCCUGCCUUUUAGCUGAGGUGACUAACAGGCAGUGGCUUCACCAAGAAACUCUUGAGUUCCUUCUGUUGCUGUCAGUUCUGCAUAAAUGCCCUGUUAAUAGAGUUGUCUUGGCUUUAUGAUGGGUCAUGAAGAGCUAUAAGAGCUUGAACUGAUAAGAAAAACUUAAGUGCUGAGGGAAAGAACCUCUAUCUAUUCCAGUGGAAACAGGCCAAGUCCUCCAUAUUGUUGUCUUAUACAGAACAGUUCUCAGGUGACUGGUGUGUCUCAUGCAGAGCUGGGCAGAGUCUAAGGGAAAGGCUAAGGCAGAGAAGAAAGGAGGCAUGACACUGGGUCUGGAGAUGACAAGCCUUUCCUCCCAUUCUACCCUCCUGGCAUCCCAGAUUCCAGGGAAGAGUUGGUGAUCUGGUUAAAGCAUUUCCAGACUUCUGCCAAGGAAGCCUUGGCAGCCAUCUUCCCAGCUCAGCACAGGUGAGCUCAGCACUCCUUACAGCCAAUGAGUAAGAAGCUGGGCAUGGUUAUCUAGUGGUGUGAUUUCUAAAGCAAAUGAUUUUUUUUAAGUCAGAUAAAAGCCAAUGCUGAUGGACUAUCUGACAUCUGGGUAUAUUUCAAGGAACUGGGUCUCUCCCUCUCUCUCUCUCUCUCUCUCUCUCUCUCUCUCUCUCUCUCUCUCUCUUCUGUCCCUCCAUCUCUCUGUCUCUGUCUCUGUUGUGAGUGUCUGUCUCUGUGCCUGUCUCUGUCUCUGUUGUGUGUGUCUGUCUCUGUCUCUCUGUGUCCCUCUUCCCUCUGUCUUUCUCUCUGUAUCUGUCUGUGUCUGUCUCUCUGUCUCUGUCUCUGUCUGUCUGUCUCUCUGUGUCUAUCUGUCUCUGUCUCUCUCUGUCUUUCUCUCUGUGUCUCUGUCUCUCUCUGUGUCUCUGUCUCUGUCUCUGUCUGUCUGUGUCUGUCUGUCUCUCUGUGUCUAUCUGUCUCUGUCUCUCUCUGUGUCUCUGUCUCUGUCUCUCUCUGUCUCUCUGUCUCUCUCCCUCUCCCUCUCCCUCUCCCCCUCCCUCUCCCUCUCCCUCUCCCUCUCCCUCUCCCCCUCCCUCUCCCUCUCCCUCUCCCUCUCCCCCUCCCUCUCCCUCUCCCUCUCCCUCUCCCUCUCCCCCUCCCUCUCCCUCUCCCUCUCCCUGCUCUAGGUAACAAUUCUUGUUGUGUUUGUCAUUUUCAAGUCAUCUCCAAUCCCACUGGUCUUAGCUUCAUCUAGAGGGACUGCACUCCUGUCAGCAUCCUGGCCUUGCAACCUGGUCUGGUAUUUCUGACAGAACUGGAGCAGGAUGGAGGACCAAACCCUGCUUUCCUGGGUGAGGAGUGAAGUCUUUUGUCCCCUGGGGGGGGGUUGCCGCCUGCUUCAUCUUCCACCUAGAGAUUCUCACUGAGCUUCUCUGGGGAAAGCCAAAGAAAUUUGUAAGUUUUUAAAGUCCCAUGGUAGAUCCAUGUGCAGUCAGGGUGACAAACCCCAGCUGUGUCUGCAAAGGUGACAGUGGAUCUGAGAAAGGCUUGAUUGACAUUUCUGCUGAUGGAAAGACAGAGAUUACAAACACACGGAGAAAUGACAAAAGCAUAGGCUGGAUAACAACUCAGCAGCUGGGGUGUGUGUGUGUGUGUGUGUGUGUGUGUGUGCGUGUGUGUGUGUGUGUGCGUGCGUGCGUGCGUGCGUGCGUGUGUGUGUGUGUGUGUGUGUGUGAAGUAUGUAAGUAGCUAGCAGGCAUCAGGCAGUAGCCAUGAAGAGAAAGUACAAAGGUACAAAGGAUAAAUAGCCAGCUAUCCUGAAGCUGGUCAAGGGAAUCAGUCACCUGAGCAAUGUGGAGUCAGUGACACUCUGUCAGAGGGACAGAGCUUUGGUGGGGUGGUCUGUGGCCAUAGUUGCAGCAGAGCUACAUGAAGACCAAGUAUCCUGCCUCCUCCCUCCUGAAACUGCCCUCAUAGCCCAGCGAGGGGCCAUUGGAAGAAGCUGUGACUUUAAGAAAGGAAAAAGACGUUAAGCCAUCUGCAGAAAUGAUUCUUCCUUUUCUUAAAGCUUUUCUUAAAUCAUUUCAGCAGAAUACAAAGCUUUCUGCUCUUGAGCUUAAAAUGCCAGCUAGCAGCUGGCCAGUGUCACAUAGGACCGGAGAUUCAUCCUGUUCAAGGUGUGAUCAUCCUACCAGCGUGAAGACACGCUUCGCCAAGAUAAGAAUCAGCUUGGGAGAACAAGGGGGCCACUGGGACCCAGUAAGUGUGGUUCCUGUGGAGGGUGCUGUCAACAGUCAGGGACACUUGUCACACACAUGCAACUGUGCCCAGCUCUGUCAUUAGACCAUCUCAUCAGGCAGAGUCAACACUGUUCGGCUCAGAGCGAUGUUUGUUUUUACAUAGUUGACUUUCUAAUAACAUACCUCUGGCCCCAGAGAGUUUGCUGUGAGAGGUGUCCCUGUCAACCACUCGACAAGUAGAAAAUGAUCCUAAGUUUGACUCCACCUUGCAAAUCAAGUCGGAAGUUUGUGUCCAACGUCUUAGGGCAACGAAACCCAGCCUGCUCAGACUACAAUCCCAACACACGCUGGUUCACACACAGAAUCCAUCCUUGCAGAUCAGAACCCUUUAAUGCUGGUUGUGUAAGGAAAAGGCCCUCCUCUUUAGCUGAGGGAAUAGCUGGCUACUAGACCAGCAUCUCCAGGGGCCACACUGUUUUCAGCUCAAUGUGUCAAGUGUAUCAAAAUCAGUGUGCUUUGUCUCCAUACAUUCCAUCUCUCCCAAAAUAUGAGUUGAUGUCAGUUUAGGUUCAUGUUACCUCUACACACCACGUGCUCUUAACAUAGAUUUACAGCUGCCAUUUUGUGCAAUCAAUCUUCUGGAGCAUAUGGGAAACAAGAAGAGCUAGAACUCAAAACUACAGGGUCCUAUGUUCAUGCUUGUGCUGUUCUCUUUACCAAAGUCCACCCCUGCCUUUUGUGGUGGUGUUACAUUUUGAUCACCUUUUCAGACUUCUUGUAGGAGAUGGGUUCUGUGACUCCUUACACUCUUGCUUCUUCCGGAUGGGCAUCACUUUGGGAUGCAGCCUCACUUUUGAGGAAUGGUGUUUGCUAGACACAGAAUUUUUCAUUGGCAGCUAAUUUUCUCUGUGCACAUUGAGUACCUCACCCACGGCUUUUAGGCCCCUUGGGCUUUUGGUGAGAAACUGCAUGUGACAAAUGUCUUCCCUCUUGCUGCUUUUAGGAAUCUCUCCCUGUUGACUUCUGUAUGUUUGGGAGAUGAUACAUCUCAGAGUGGGAAUCUAACUCAUCCUUUGUGGAGAUAUUGAACUUCAUAGGUAGGAACAUAAUGUCUUUGAUUGGAUAAGGGCCAUUUCAUGUGACCAUGGUGGAUCUAUAAAUGAUGGUGGCAGGUCCUUCCUGGAAAUUUUAUCCAAGGGCACCAUAUAAUGCCAUGGCUUGCACCAGUCCCUCAAGGAACCAGAUAUACACCAUUAGGUUUGUUUUAGAAUGCCUCUGCUCUCAUCCAGAUUAUGAGCUAUGAGCUAUCAUCCGGUGGCUUCUGUGGCCUUAGGAGUGGAGGCUAAAGGGUGGAAAAGCAAAAAUAUCAGGAUGCUUUCCAGAACAUUCCUCUCUCUCUCUCUCUCUCUCUCUCUCUCUCUCUCUCUCUCUCUCUCUCUCUCUC